CUUUGUUUGAAUCCUAGUCCUGCUGCCUGUUUGUUCCAGGACUUCACCCAGUUUACUGGACUGAAGAUCAUCAUCAAUGGAUCAAUGCUAGAUCAAUGCUAGAUCAAUGACUCAAGUAAGGCAUUUGGACACCACCCUUGAUGCCCUUGUGGAAAAGAUGAAUAAACUGUGGAUUAAUAAUAGCAAAGAGGUAAUUCAUAUGUAGCUUAACCGAUACAUCAAAGCCAUUUUUUGAAUGACCACCAUAGCAGACCACAAUGGCUUUCCCAUUCAUAUCGGUCCCUACAGAUCAACUCUAUUGCUGACCAGCUGUGACAUCUAUUCUGGGAAAUUUUGUUUCUGUGAGUCUCAGUUUACUUACCUAUAAAACAGAGAAAACAAUUUAUUUCAAAGGAUUUGGAUUGGGAUUAAAGGAUGCGAUACAUUCCGUAAGCUACAAAGAAUAUGUUACAUAUACUUUUAACACUUGUCUGUCUGUAUCAGUAAUCUUCAAGUUCCAUGCAACUGAGUCUUUCACUUACCGUUGUAUCCUUAUCUUCCAGUGCAGAACCUGGUGAAUAAAAUGUUCUCAGCAAAUAUUAUUGAAUGAAUGAAUGAACACGUUCCUAAAGCUGGCGCCAUAUUCAAUGCACACAAAUGUUCCAGAAAGAUUUGUUUCCC
rnacentral:lncRNA from 1 species